GAAGCGGCACUACAAUGCAGAACAAACUCGCUCAAAGUUUGAAACACGGGCUAUAGAUUUUUGGAAGGAACCUGUAAAAACUAUUUCGACUACGAUUUUAUGACGGUCUCCUUAUUGAAAUUAGUCUUUCUGUACUAUUUGAAGACACAAGAGAGACCGGAUGUAUGUAUCACCAGAGGAGUGAAAAUCGUUCCAGGGUGGGCCCCUACCUCCCCAAGGACACCCAUCUACACCACAACACCCUGUGGAUUGCAGCCCUGGAGGAUGGAGCAAGCAUAGUACUCCAAGGCACCAGAGAGGUACUCC